UACGUAGGGUGCAAGCGUUAAUCGGAAUUACUGGGCGUAAAGCGUGCGCAGGCGGCUUUGCAAGACAGAUGUGAAAUCCCCGGGCUUAACCUGGGAACUGCAUUUGUGACUGCAUGGCUGGAGUGCGGCAGAGGGGGAUGGAAUUCCGCGUGUAGCAGUGAAAUGCGUAGAUAUGCGGAGGAACACCGAUGGCGAAGGCAAUCCCCUGGGCCUGCACUGACGCUGAGACGCGAAAGCGUGGGGAGCAAACAGG
rnacentral:rRNA from 1 species